CCUACGGGAGGCAGCAGUGAGGAAUAUUGGUCAAUGGACGAGAGUCUGAACCAGCCAAGUAGCGUGAAGGAUGACUGCCCUAUGGGUUGUAAACUUCUUUUAUAUGGGAAUAAAAUGUUGCACGUGUGGGAUUUUGUAUGUACUAUAUGAAUAAGGAUCGGCUAACUCCGUGCCAGCAGCCGCGGUAAUACGGAGGAUCCGAGCGUUAUCCGGAUUUAUUGGGUUUAAAGGGAGCGUAGGUGGGUUGUUAAGUCAGUUGUGAAAGUUUGCGGCUCAACCGUAAAAUUGCAGUUGAAACUGGCAGUCUUGAGUACAGUAGAGGUGGGCGGAAUUCGUGGUGUAGCGGUGAAAUGCUUAGAUAUCGCGAAGAACUCCGAUUGCGAAGGCAGUUCACUGGACUGCAACUGACACUGAGGCUCGAAAGUGUGGGUAUCAAACAGGAUUAGAUACCCUUGUAGUC
rnacentral:rRNA from 1 species